UAGGGAAUCUUCCACAAUGGACGCAAGUCUGAUGGAGCAACGCCGCGUGAGUGAAGAAGGUUUUCGGACCGUAAAGCUCUGUUGUUGGUGAAGAAGGAUAGAGGUAGUAACUGGCCUUUAUUUGACGGUAAUCAACCAGAAAGUCACGGCUAACUACGUGCCAGCAGCCGCGGUAAUACGUAGGUGGCAAGCGUUGUCCGGAUUUAUUGGGCGUAAAGCGAGCGCAGGCGGAAGAAUAAGUCUGAUGUGAAAGCCCUCGGCUUAACCGAGGAAUUGCAUCGGAAACUGUUUUCUUGGAUGCAGAAGAGGAGAGUAGAACUCCAUGUGUAGCGGUGGAAUGCGUAGAUAUAUGGAAGAAUACCAGUGGCGAAGGCGGCUCUCUGGUCUGCAACUGACGCUGAGGCUCGAAAGCAUGGGUAGCGAACAGGAUUAGAUACCCUGGUAGUCCAUGCCGUAAACGAUGAGUGCUAAGUGUUGGGAGGCUUCCGCCUCUCAGUGCUGCAGCUAACGCAUUAAGCACUCCGCCUGGGGGAGUACGACCGCAAGGUUGAAAC
rnacentral:rRNA from 1 species